rnacentral:rRNA from 1 species
CAGCCGCCGCGGGAAUACGUAGGUGGCGAGCGUUGUCCGGAAUUAUUGGGCGUAAAGCGCGCGUAGGCGGCUUGGUAAGUUAGAGGUGAAAGCCCGGAGCUCAACUCCGGAAUUGCCUUUAAGACUGCCGAGCUAGUAGGUGAGAGAGGUAAGUGGAAUUCCGAGUGUAGAGGUGAAAUUCGUAGAUAUUCGGAAGAACACCAGUGGCGAAGGCGGCUUACUGGCUCAUUCUAGACGCUGAGGUGCGAAAGCGUGGGGAGCAAACAGGAUUAGAUACCCGCGUAGUCCCUGUCUCUUAUAC